ACCAGACUCCUACGGGAGGCAGCAGUGAGGAAUAUUGGUCAAUGGGAGGAAUCCUGAACCAGCCAUGCCGCGUGCAGGACGACGGCUCUACGAGUUGUAAACUGCUUUUGUACCGGGGUAAAAUGCCUUACGAGUAGGGUUUUGAAAGUACGGUACGAAUAAGGAUCGGCUAACUCCGUGCCAGCAGCCGCGGUAAUACGGAGGAUGCGAGCGUUAUCCGGAUUUAUUGGGUUUAAAGGGUGCGCAGGCGGAAGAUCAAGUCAGCGUUAAAAUGGAGAGGCUCAACCUCUGCGAGCCGUUGAAACUGGUUUUCUUGAGUGAGCGAGAAGUAUGCGGAAUGCGUGGUGUAGCGGUGAAAUGCAUAGAUAUCACGCAGAACUCCGAUUGCGAAGGCAGCAUACCGGCGCUCAACUGACGCUCAUGCACGAAAGUGUGGGUAUCGAACAGGAUUAGAUACCCUCGUAC
rnacentral:rRNA from 1 species